ACUGAGUGGGCUUUGAAGCGCCCGGCUGCCUGGGCCACUGCUCCUCCUAGCGCAGGCGGUGAGGCGUGAUUCCUGGCCGUCACCACCCACCGGCCAGGGGCCGCGAGCUCGAACAAUGAGGAACUGAGGAUUAUAAUCACGUACUUGCACAAGGGAUAUUUGGACACAGAGAUACAGAUGAAGGGAAGACACAGUAAAGACGCAGGGGGAGUACAAGCCAAAGAGAAGGAAGCGUGGGACAGAUCCUUCCCUCACAGCCCUCAGAAGGUACCAAUGCUGCCAGCACCUUGAUCUUGGACUUCCAUCCUCCAGAACUGUGAGACAACAAACUUCUGUCAUUUACGCCACCCACUCUGUGGCACUUUGUUACAGGGGGCAUAGCAAACCAAUAUAGGAUAUACUGCUA